CAGCCGGUCCGCCUUCUUGGUGUGUACUUGUUUGACGGAGCCUUACCUCCUGGUGAACGGCGAUGUCCUUUACUGGGUGUCGUCGCAAACCAGGACUUUUACUUUGAAAAAAUUAGAGUGUUCAAAGCAGGCCUUUGCCCGAAUACAUUAGCAUGGAAUAAUAAAAUAGGACGCGCGUUCCCAUUUUGUUGGUUUCUGAGAUCGCCGUAAUGAUUAAUAGGGAUAGUUGGGGGCAUUUGUAUUCCGUCGUCAGAGGUGAAAUUCUUGGAUUGCCGGAAGACAAACUACUGCGAAAGCAUUUGCCAAGGAUGUUUUCAUUGAUCAAGAACGAAGGAAGGGGGAUCGAAAACGAUUAGAUACCGUUGUAGUCUCUUCUGUAAACUAUGCCAAUUGGGGAUCGGUACAGGAUUUUUAAUGACUGUAUCGGCACCCGAAGAGAAAUCUUUAAAUGAGGUUCGGGGGGGAGUAUGGUCGCAAGGCUGAAACUUAAAGGAAUUGACGGAAGGGCACCACCAGGUGUGGAGCCUGCGGCUUAAUUUGACUCAACACGGGGAAACUCACCAGGUCCAGACACAAUAAGGAUUGACAGAUUGAUAGCUCUCUCUUGAUCUUGUGGUUGGUGGUGCAUGGCCGUUCUUAGUUGGUGGAGUGAUUUGUCUGGUUAAUUCCGAUAACGAACGAGACCUUAACCUGCUAAAUAGACCAGCCGGCUUUGGCUAGCUGCUGUCUUCUUAGAGGGACUAUCAGCGUUUAGCUGAUGGAAGUUUGAGGCAAUAACAGGUCUGUGAUGCCCUUAGAUGUUCUGGGCCGCACGCGCGCUACACUGACAGAGCCAGCGAGUCUACCACCUUUGCCGGAAGGCAUGGGUAAUCUUGUGAAACUCUGUCGUGAUGGGGAUAGAACAUUGCAAUUAUUGUUCUUCAACGAGGAAUACCUAGUAAGCGUGAUUCAUCAGAUCGCGUUGAUUACGUCCCUGCCCUUUGUACACACCGCCCGUCGCUACUACCGAUUGAAUGGCUUAGUGAGGCCUCCGGAUUGGCUAUUGGGAGCUCGCGAGAGCACCCGACUGCCG
rnacentral:rRNA from 1 species